rnacentral:rRNA from 1 species
GCUUACGGCCAUACCACCCUGGAAAUGGCCGAUCUCAUCUGAACUCGGAAGUAAAGCAGGGUCGGGCCUGGUUAGUACUUGGAUGGGAGACCGCCUGGGAAUACCAGGUGCUGUAAGCU